UCAGGGCCUAACACAUGCAAGUCGAACGGUAACAGGUCUUCGGAUGCUGACGAGUGGCGAACGGGUGAGUAAUACAUCGGAACGUGCCCAGUAAUGGGGGAUAGCCCGGCGAAAGCCGGAUUAAUACCGCAUACGCCCUGAGGGGGAAAGUGGGGGACCGCAAGGCCUCGCGCUAUUGGAGCGGCCGAUGUCAGAUUAGCUAGUUGGUGGGGUAAAGGCCUACCAAGGCGACGAUCUGUAGCUGGUCUGAGAGGACGACCAGCCACACUGGGACUGAGACACGGCCCAGACUCCUACGGGAGGCAGCAGUGGGGAAUUUUGGUCAAUGGGGGCAACCCUGAUCCAGCAAUGCCGCGUGAGUGAAGAAGGCCCUCGGGUUGUAAAGCUCUUUUGUCAGGGAAGAAAAGGUUGUGGCUAAUAUCCACGGCUGAUGA
rnacentral:rRNA from 1 species